rnacentral:lncRNA from 1 species
UAAACUUUAUAUUGAAUAAAAAUGAUUCAGUUCGGUUUAGUGUGGUUUUUUUUGGUUCUAUAUGUUAGUUACUUUUUAAAAUGCAUGUAUAAUUUGAACUUAAAUAAAUUCCAGGUUUAACCGGGUUUUCCUAGUUGGUUUAUUUGGAGUCGGUUUGUUCGGAUAUCUAUCCAUCAAUUUUAUUAAUUGCAAGGUGACUUUUAACUUUUGAACUUCCGCAUUAGAAUUAAAGGCGGUCAAAGUCUAUAAUAGCUUUAAUAAAUAAUUAUGUUUAUUCUUUAUAUAAAUUUUAUAUAGUUGACCAUAAAUUAAUUAUGAGGCAAGUUUCAAAAAGAAGAAGAAAAACAUGUUUAAAAAAAACAAUUCAUGUAUAUUAUGUUGUUAUCCAAAUAUUAUAUUCUUUCAGUUGCUUCAAUCUUAUAAAUAUUUUCUUUCGGUAUGAUAAAUCUCUUGAUAUUUUUUUGACUAAAAGACAUAAAUCUGAAUAAUAA